CCUCAUCCCCAAGGGCGGCGUCAUCAACGACCCCCUCUCCUCCAAGCGCGGCAUCAUCAACGACCCCCUCUCCUCCGAGCGCGCCGUCACCUACAGCAUCCUCUGCAAGGACGGCGAGACUGCGAUGGCGGACGUGCUGCCCCACAUCGUCCAUUCUGAGUUGGAGAAGAACCCAGGCUCCCCUACACUGAAGCGGCAGGAGCGCGAUGAAAACCCGGAAGAGGAGAAAUCUCUGUCCCCACCCAUGAAGCGUUGCGGUAAAGCACACCUCCCUCUAUCUUUUCAAUCCCAAUAUUCUCCACCCUGAACAUGUUGUAGUUCACCUGAGCAACUGUACUUUGAAAUCUGUGGUCAAUGAUUUCUCCUGAAUUGUUUAGUCACUGCGCAUAUAUGUUCUAGUUCACCUGCGCAAUUCUACUUUGAUGGUUUAUGAUUUCAAUUGAAUUGUUUAUUCUCCACCCUGAACAUGUUGUAGUUCACCUGAGCAACUGUACUUUGAAAUCUGUGGUCAAUGAUUUCUCCUGAAUUGUUAAGUCACUGCGCAUAUAUGUUCUAGUUCACCUGCGCAAUUCUACUCUGAUGGUU